ensembl:lncRNA
AGCCCAUACAACUCUGUAAUGAUCUUUUCUGCCCACAAGACUUUGUGGUUUAAGGGCUGGCAAGGAUUAGUGGGUGGAGGAACUUUUAUUUAAGACUAACACACACGCUGCAUACUGAGUUUUCAACAAGAGCUUCCACUGCAGAGUGGGGUUAAAGAAUUGCACCGAAGACACCAGAAGGAGCUCAGUUUUUAUGUGGCACUGGCCAAAGGAGCUGAAAGCAGCAGGACUUCAUUAGCAGAGAAACAGCAUCAGUUGUCAGGCCACAGCAGCCAAAAACUUAAGCAUGAAGAUUGUGCCAUGACAGCAUGUGGUAAAAAAGGAAAGAAAUCGCACGGCUGAAACAUCACAGCCAGACACUGCUGGCGGAGGCUGUUACUGAUCCGAAGGCACAGAAUUCCCAAGCAGAAAUGGAGAUCAACUGAGAGAGGGCAUAAAAAGGACCUAAGGAAACGAAGAAGUGCGGUGGAAAGAAAAAUGAGCCUCAUAUUAAAAAGGAGCAGCAACACGUCAAAUAUCAUCGCCUGGAUCGUUCAAAACUGACAACACCAACAGACCACCUCAAAGAGCAGCGAUGCUUUACCAACACAACGAAGAUCAGCCAUGUGAAACUGCAGCAGCACACUGCAGCAAACCCAGGAACCAGCUACCAGAAUGCUGCCUUCUGCUCAAUAAACUAAUAUGAAUUACGCUUAGAAUUGUGAGCAGAUUGGAAAAGAUCCCUUGCAGAUGGCAGGGGGGUUCUGCACCUUAGGGCUUGCAGCCACCUUUAUGACACUCCUCUGUUCUCGUUCCAAACCUACCGGGAUGCAUCGUUUGCUUUGGGACGGGUGCUUUAUUUGAAAUAUAUUAUGGAGAGCAUGGUUUAUCAUUCUGCCUUGAUUCAUGCUCAGCUGAUAAUUCAUGUAACAGUACAGCAGUUUGGUUGCUGGGUUAGGAUUGUUUUUAUUUAUUUUUUGCAGCCGCACAGCAGGUAAACGUUUGUACAUACAGAAGUGACAUUUUCAGUGAGGUUUUCAGAUGAAAGCAUAGCUGUAUUCAGACCUCAGAAAAACGCACAUCAGCCUCCAUGCCUUGAAUCCUCC